rnacentral:rRNA from 1 species
UGGGGAAUAUUGGGCAAUGGGACGCAAGUCUGACCCAGCAACGCCGCGUGAAGGAAGAAGGCUUUCGGGUUGUAAACUUCUUUUGUCAGGGAACAGUAGAAGAGGGUACCUGACGAAUAAGCCACGGCUAACUACGUGCCAGCAGCCGCGGUAAUACGUAGGUGGCAAGCGUUGUCCGGAUUUACUGGGUGUAAAGGGCGUGUAGCCGGGUGUGUAAGUCAGAUGUGAAAUCUGGAGGCUCAACCUCCAAACUGCAUUUGAAACUGCGCAUCUUGAGUAUCGGAGAGGUCAUCGGAAUUCCUAGUGUAGCGGUGAAAUGCGUAGAUAUUAGGGAAGAACACCAG